rnacentral:rRNA from 1 species
GUACGGGAGGCAGCAGUGGGGAAUUUUGCGCAAUGGGGGAAACCCUGACGCAGCAACGCCGCGUGAGUGAUGCAGGCCUUCGGGUCGUAAAGCUCUGUCAGUGGGAAAGAAAUGUACGAGGGCCAAUACCCCUUGUACUUGACGGUACCCACAAAGGAAGCACCGGCUAACUCCGUGCCAGCAGCCGCGGUAAUACGGAGGGUGCGAGCGUUGUUCGGAAUUAUUGGGCGUAAAGCGCGUGUAGGCGACUCCUUAAGUCUGAUGUGAAAGCCCCGGGCUCAACCUGGGAAGUGCAUUGGAAACUGGGGAACUUGAAUACGGGAGAGGGUAGUGGAAUUCCUGGUGUAGGAGUGAAAUCCGUAGAUAUCAGGAGGAACACCGGUGGCGAAGGCGGCUACCUGGACCGAUAUUGACGCUGAGACGCGAAAGCGUGGGGAGCAAACAGGAUUAGAUACCCCAGUAGUC